GGAGGGUGCGAGCGUUGUUCGGAAUUAUUGGGCGUAAAGAGCGUGUAGGCGGUUUGGUAAGUCAGAUGUGAAAGCCCUGGGCUCAACCCAGGAAGUGCAUUUGAUACUGCCAUCCUUGAGUAUGGGAGAGGAGAGUGGAAUUCCCAGUGUAGAGGUGAAAUUCGUAGAUAUUGGGAAGAACACCCGUGGCGAAGGCGACUCUCUGGACCAAUACUGACGCUGAGACGCGAAAGCGUGGGGGAGCAAACAGGAUUAGAUACCCUGGUAGUCCACGCCGUAAACGAUGAGAACUAGUGUAGCGGGUAUUGACCCCCCCCUGCUGUGCCGGAGCUAACGCAUUAAGUUCUCCGCCUGGGAGUACGGCCGCAAGGCUA
rnacentral:rRNA from 1 species